AGGACAAAGAAAGUACCUUAUGCAUGAUGGCCAUGGUGUGCCUUUGCAAGUCGUCAAAACUCAUGUUGCCAAUGCCCCUCAGCUCUACUGAAAGUAUCAAUCUCUCGAUUAGUUCCUUAAUAAUCCUCUAGUCGUCAAAUGAUGCACUUUUAGAAAUGGAGGUAAGGCGGGCAUCUAGAUCUGCUUGAUCGAUGGAAGGAGCCAUGCUGCUUGGGCCCACAGUAGAAGGAAGUUGAGUAGGACAAGAUUGAGCUCCUGUUCAUCGAGAAAACAUCGAGA
rnacentral:lncRNA from 1 species